AUAUGGUAACGGAAUGAGAAAAAUGAGAGCUCGCGAUUCUGAGUGGAAACCACAUAAAAAAUUUCAAAUCCAAAAAAAAGUGGGGUGGAUAACUUUGAAAAAAAUGGCCCACUGUACCCAUGUAACUGUACACUCGCCAUCAAAUAUAUCGGAGCCGCCAUAGAUUUCACAAAAUAUCGGAACACUCCUAUAUUGUCAAGACGUUAGAAUGCAAGUUCCGAUGUUUGUGAGAGCUUUGGCAGCCAUGUCUUAAUAGACACCGUGCUGUAUUAGUCAUAGAAGACACUCCGACGUUUACUAUGCUUUCCCUAUUCUUAACUGUCCCUACUGAAUUCCUGUCUUAUGCUCAAUGUGAACUUAUUCGGAUACAAAUAAUCCUGUAAAAGAACAUGCAAAAAAUGUACUAAUGAAUAGUACAUUUGAAUGAUAAGAAGCCAUACCUAUAGGUGGAAAAUUCAAUAAGAUGAAUUAUGAAUGUUGUUGUUCUUUUAUAGAUUACUUGUUAAAGGUACAAUUACUCUACUAAGUUGCCCAUGUAUGACUAUAUAACAAUGUCCAUUUUCUUAGCCAAAUUACAAGUCAUAUCAAUGCGAUUGAAUAAAGUACCUAGUGAAGAA